UCCCGUUUGACACGGGCAGUCCCUUUAGAGUGCCCAACUUAAUGAUGGCAACUAAAGGCAAGGGUUGCGCUCGUUGCGGGACUUAACCCAACAUCUCACGACACGAGCUGACGACAGCCAUGCAGCACCUGAACCGGAGGUCCCCGAAGGGAAGACCCUAUUUCUAGGGCUGUCCUCCGUUGUCUAGCCCGGGUAAGGUUAUUCGCGUUGCAUCGAAUUAAUCCACAUCAUCCACCGCUUGUGCGGGUCCCCGUCAAUUCCUUUGAGUUUUAGCCUUGCGGCCGUACUCCCCAGGCGGGGCGCUUAAUGCGUUAGCUGCGGCACGGAACUCGUGGAAUGAGCCCCACACCUAGCGCCCAACGUUUACGGUGUGGACUAC
rnacentral:misc_RNA from 1 species